GGAGGUCUCUGCGUGCUUUAGGCCUUACAGAGGUUCCAGCCAGAGAUAUGCAAAAAGCUUGUAAUGAAACUGCAAGCCAAGUGAAAACAGAGCAACAAGAUAUUGCAUGUAGUAGAGAGUGGCUCCUGCUUCAAGUAGAAGAAAAAGAAGAGAGGGCAACCUCCUGACUCCCAUGGCUUCACUGCUAAGCCCUUGGACCAGAGGCAACUGGAAGAGGCUGGAGGAGCCAAUAGAGUGCAAGUCUCUCAUCAUGGCAGAAAAUCUAGGAGGAGUAACAUUCCUUAUGCUUGUACCAUAGAACACAGACUUUAGAUUAUAUUGUGGAAAAAUGUGGAUUACAUGUAAUAUUUGGGGUUAGUUAAUAGUCUUUGACAGUGUUGAGACAGUUUACAGCUUUAAUAGAAAAUUAUUUUUCAUCAAUUUAGCUUUACUACAUGCAUUGCUGUUUUAAUUUUUACACCACUGUUUCACAUGUUACUGUGUACCAUAUUCUAGUGUGCAUUUGCAGUAUAAUGUGCCUUCAUACACAUCACUUAGCAACAGAGACAAAUGAGAUUCUCAUUUUCUGCCCUCCUCAAAUUAUGAGGAGGAUGUAUACUGGACUGUUUUAUUUAUUUAUUUAUUUAUUUCCCUCCAGUGGGGAUCAAAUAAAUUUGGGUCCAUUCCUUCUGCUCAAUAGAUCUUUUUGGUUUUUAAGUCAAGUAUCUUUUUUUCCCCCUUUGUCUUUUCAGAUAAAAGAGAGGACAGUAGAUAAACUGUUACUCUGAGUCAAGGUUAGUUCUUGGGUGCUGUCUAGGUAGGUCUGGUUAUGGGCUGUUCCUCUUUCUGGGCAGAAUGUGAGGUUUGGGAUAAACUUCCCCAUCAAACACGUCUUGACUUCUAUUCGCAGAAUGACAUUGCAUGUUGAGAACAUCAGUUGCAUUCCAAGAUGGGUUUGAGUACGUGUGUGUAAUUGCAGAUAAUUAGAAGAACAAGUUAUUUAUAAUCACGAGUUUGGGAGCAAUACAGAUAUUUGUAUUAUUUGAUCAUUUGCAAAAUGUGGCACAGGCAAUAGCUUGUGUUAUUGUAUUUAUAUCUGUAGCUUAUUCUGUUUCCUAGCUCUGCCUUGAUGUUAAAAUGUCAGUUGGGUGAAAUCAUUUCAACUACUCAGGGU